AGGGCACCACCAGGAGUGGAGCCUGCGGCUUAAUUUGACCCAACACGGGGAAACUCACCCGGCCCGGACACCGUAAGGAUUGACAGAUUGAUAGCUCUUUCAUGAUUUGGUGGAUGGUGGUGCAUGGCCGUUCUUAGUUCGUGGAGCGAUUUGUCUGGUUUAUUCCGAUAACGAGCGAGACUCUAGCCUACUAACUAGUCUGCACAUUGCUAUUGUGUUGCAGUACUUCUUAGAGGGAUUUUCGGUGUACAGCCGCACGAGAUUGAGCAAUAACAGGUCUGUGAUGCCCUUAGAUGUCCGGGGCUGCACGCGCGCUACACUGGCGAAAUCAGCGUGCCUGUCCUUUCCCGAAAGGGAUUGGUAAACCGGUGAAAAUUUGCCGUGAUUGGGAUCGGAAAUUGCGAUUAUUUUCCGUGAACGAGGAAUUCCAAGUAAAUGCGAGUCAUCAACUCGCGUUGAUUACGUCCCUGCCCUUUGUACACACCGCCCGUCGCUGCCCGGGACUGAGCCAUUUCGAGA
rnacentral:rRNA from 1 species